GACGAACGCUGGCGGCGUGCCUAAUACAUGCAAGUCGAACGAGUGGCGGACGGGUGAGUAAUGUUUGGGAAACUGCCCGAUGGAGGGGGAUAACUACUGGAAACGGUAGCUAAUACCGCAUACCAUCGGAUGUGCCCAGAUGGGAUUAGCUAGUAGGUGGGGUAACGGCUCACCUAGGCGACGAUCCCUAGCUGGUCUGAGAGGAUGACCAGCCACACGGGAACUGAGACACGGUCCAGACUCCUACGGGAGGCAGCAGUGGGGAAUUUUGGACAAUGGGGGAAAGCCUGAUCCAGCCAUGCCGCGUGUGCGAUGAAGGCCUUCGGGUUGUAAAGCACUUUUGGCAGGAAAGCGGUACCUGCAGAAUAAGCACCGGCUAACUACGUGCCAGCCGCCGCGGUAAUAC
rnacentral:rRNA from 1 species